UACGGAGGGUGCGAGCGUUGUCCGGAAUCACUGGGCGUAAAGGGCGCGUAGGCGGCGCGGAAAGUCGUCGGUGAAAGCUCGGGGCUCAACCCUGAGUCUGCCGGUGAUACUCCCGCGCUCGAGCUCACUAGAGGCAGAUGGAAUUCCGGGUGUAGCGGUGGAAUGCGUAGAGAUCCGGAAGAACACCGGUGGCGAAGGCGGUUCUCUGGGCCUUACCUGACGCUGAGGAGCGAAAGCGUGGGGAGCGAACAGG
rnacentral:rRNA from 1 species